rnacentral:rRNA from 1 species
CUCACAGACGAACGCUGGCGGCGUGCCUAAUACAUGCAAGUCGAGCGGACAGAUGGGAGCUUGCUCCCUGAUGUUAGCGGCGGACGGGUGAGUAACACGUGGGUAACCUGCCUGUAAGACUGGGAUAACUCCGGGAAACCGGGGCUAAUACCGGAUGGUUGUUUGAACCGCAUGGUUCAAACAUAAAAGGUGGCUUCGGCUACCACUUACAGAUGGACCCGCGGCGCAUUAGCUAGUUGGUGAGGUAACGGCUCACCAAGGCAACGAUGCGUAGCCGACCUGAGAGGGUGAUCGGCCACACUGGGACUGAGACACGGCCCAGACUCCUACGGGAGGCAGCAGUAGGGAAUCUUCCGCAAUGGACGAAAGUCUGACGGAGCAACGCCGCGUGAGUGAUGAAGGUUUUCGGAUCGUAAAGCUCUGUUGUUAGGGAAGAACAAGUACCGUUCGAAUAGGGCGGUACCUUGACGGUACCUAACCAGAAAGCCACGGCUAACUACGUGCCAGCAGCCGCGGUAAUACGUAGGUGGCAAGCGUUGUCCGGAAUUAUUGGGCGUAAAGGGCUCGCAGGCGGUUUCUUAAGUCUGAUGUGAAAGCCCCCGGCUCAACCGGGGAGGGUCAUUGGAAACUGGGGAACUUGAGUGCAGAAGAGGAGAGUGGAAUUCCACGUGUAGCGGUGAAAUGCGUAGAGAUGUGGAGGAACACCAGUGGCGAAGGCGACUCUCUGGUCUGUAACUGACGCUAGAGCGAAAGCGUCCCC